GCCAGGGGUGGUGGUGUAUGCCUAUAGUCCAGCUACCUGGGAGGCUGAGGCAGGAGGAUCACCUGAGGCUCAUAGCCUGGGCCACAUAAUGAGAACUAGUCUCAA
rnacentral:sRNA from 1 species